UUUUUGUGUUGAAAACAUCGUCAAACUAGCAUCUGUACCUACAGAUUAUUAUGCUACGCUGUGUUUACACUGGGUCAAAUGGGCACAGUACGGAUCAGCUAGUGUGAGAACAUCCUGAGGUCUCCUUAAAAUGACACAGCCCUACUGAAAUGUGAACGAGAAGCACGUCAGCAACAGGUGUGCCCCCUGAUUGGGUAAUCAUUUCUACAUAAGUAUCCAAGCUUUUGCCUUUAAGAUGUGAACAAAUUUCACACUGCUGUGGAAUCCAUGUUGGACAUAAGUUAGUCAGUUAGGAGGUUAGUCAGUUAUGGUCAUCAGCCAUGGAUUAGAGGCAGAACAGGCCUCAGGAUGGCUGCCAGUUUGCAAUAUGAAAGCAUAUCAUAUUAGGCCCCCAACCCAGAACAAUCAAAAUAUGCUCCAGGUUUUUUUAGAGCCACAAUCGUACAAAUUUCUCCUCCUUUUUGGUGCUGCUGUCCCAGGCAUUUGUAGAAGCUUUGAAACUCUGAAUGGAGGAGAUGAUACCUGUGAUGCAAAAUCCCCCAGUUCAAAUCCCUGGGUCAGCAGACUGAUUUUGCCAUUGGGCCCCUGAGCGAGGCCCUUAACCCACAAUUACUCUAGCUGCCAUUCCCUUCUCUGAUUCCCACAUAUUAGCCCACAUAUUUUCUCACUUUGACAAACCCCCUUUCCUCAGUUGUCACAUUCCUCCUCUUCCCCUUUUCACAUUGGGACAAAUGAGUGACAUUCACAAGCUUGUCCAUCCCAAUAGGGGAUGUUGCCCAUCCGCAAAUGAAUCAAAAAACUCAAAUAUAACCAUCAAUAAAGUCAGAGGGCUGGUCUUGGGCACCAAAUGAAUCAGCAUGCUAAAAUGUACUCCUAAAUAAAUUCAGACCUGAAUCAGAGAGCUAAACCCCUUCACCUCUGCAAAAAAAUGCCUUAAAAGACUGACUCAUAUAAUCUUUGAAAUUUCACGGAACACAAACACAAGUACACAAUGCAAGCAUGGCUGCUAAUUAACUACUCUGAGUGUUGCUUGAUAUUGUAAUGAGUGGGUAAAAGGGCAGAGACGGUGGAGGAAAAUGUCAUCUCCUAGGCAAAGUCAUUAGGAGCAUUCGGAGCUGCGGUUAGCAUUCCACUAGAAGAUGUGUAAUUGAACCAGUCAUGUGAGCAAUGUCUCUGACUCAUGUUUACUUGUUUGCAAACUGGCCACUGAAACACACCCAUGGGUUUGGAAGCAUGAGUACUGAAGAAGAGAAGUUAUGCAGAUCUGGUUAAUAUCAGACGAGAGCCACAUCAGAAGGCUGCAUGAGGCCCAUCCGAACCUCACCGUAGCAACGUCACAAACGGAAGGAAGAGGCCCCUGUUCGUGUUUCUAGUUCCCGAGCGAUGUCACUAACAGGCUAACAGAGUCCUCUGUGCAGAAUCCCCCCAGAUCUGCUGGAGUUCGAGGUGAUGAUGGUCAGAAGCUGACUGGAACUGUGAAAUUGCCAACAACACAGGCUCCACAAAUCACACCGCCGGGUUCCUACCAUAGCAGCGGAAACUGACAAAUUCUAACAGAUAAGACUUGAGAUAUGAGAGAACAAAUGGUUACUGCACAAUACCAAACAUCUGCAGACGGUCUCACAGGCAUGAGAGCUCUUACAUAAGCGAUAGUGAAAGACAGACAAAUGUGACCUAUGAUUUAAUGCCUGAUUAUUAAUCAGGCAAAACUCUUGUGUAUAGUAGGUGAGUCUGAAACACUUAUAUUUCCCUUUCCUAUUGUAACAAAAACUGUCAAUUGAAAUAAAAAAAAAUGCAUAAAAUCGGACAUUUAGGCAUUUGGGGGAGCGGGUGUUUUAAUAAAUGGCAUUGUCAGGAUAGCUGACUGGCCUCGUCAGUCUUUUUCUGUUAAAACGGGAUUCGUGGUCAGCAUUAUCAAAGCUGUUCAGGUAUGUUUUACUAUGAAAUUUAUACUGGACAUUCCAAUCAACGAUGUGUAUCUUUGUUACUGAAGAAUGCAGAAAUAAAUAGGAAUAAGAGUGUGAUCCUGUUACCUGCAGACAAAGUGUUUCUCUAAGAGAGGGGGGUAUGGAAUUUCCCCUUUAGGGGAUUAUAAAGGUUCUAUGCUAUGCUAUGCUAUGCUAUGCUAUGCUAUGCUGUCCUGUCCUGUCCUGUCCUGUCCUCCCUACAUGUGUAAAAGCUGGUAAUGCAGGAAUGUGGAGACUUGUACUGAGGCUUUCCUGCAAUAAAAAAAGCUAGCUGAUGUUUUUUUUAUUAUUAUUUUUAAUUAGGUGUUUUCGAGAAGGAAGAAAAUAUAUAUUAUUUUGUUAUUCUAUGACCAGAGCCUGUGGCUAAAUUAUGCUCUCUCCCUCCAGAGGCUAACAGACAACUUUAAAAUCAGGCAUUCUCAGUUGAAACAAAUUGGCGGAGUUUUAUUUAUUUGUGCGGUUUUAACCAUAUUAUACCAUGUUCUUGGGUAAAGGGCUAAUUUGCGAUUUAGUGGAGUCACAGAUGUUCUUAGACACUCUUGUAUCUCUGUUUCUUGGGCUCCCUUGGCAAACUGAUGUGUUUUUUAAGACACAUGGCAUUAAUAUAUUAUCGAAGAUGGCAAACUCCUCAACAAAGAACCUUCUCACCUCCAGUUCUUCUGUGUCUUAUUUCCAGUCAUUACGCAACACUGGCAUCACAAGCCCAGCUGUCAGGCACAAUGCCCGUCUGGUAUUUUUUAACAUUUAUUCUUAUGACUUCAGUGCCCAUUUCCAUGUACAUUGUUGAUAUCUCCCUGAAAGACUGUAAUCUUUUUGCCAACCUUGGCCUAAUUACAGUCACUCGUCUGAACUGUGCUUUUUCGAAUCACACCUGCAGCCGAUAUUCGGAAAGACGGCCUGCUGGAAAGCAUGCCAACGAAACUACACUCACUGCUCAAUAUGCUUAAAAUGAAAACAGCUGAAUUAUAUAAUCAAAUGAUACUUCAGAUGCUAGCGGUUAAAAAAAAUUAAGCAAGAGCUCAUCUGGAGGUCUACCGAAGCUUCUCACAGCCUCGGCCCAGGUCCUACAGCCCCAGCUGUAGGCCAUCAAAGCCCAGUGGCUAAACAGGGAGCACCAAUCGUUGGACAUACAGUGCAGCCAUCUGGGUUGUGCACCCACAGAGAGGACAGAGACUGAAUGAUCAGUUCCCAGCCAAAAGCACAAUUAAAAAUGCUAAAUAUUACAUUGUAUUUCUUUAGAGAUAAUCAUCAAAGAAUAAUGUUAUUCUUGCAAAUAGCUUAGUAUUACCCAGACACAAACAACUAAAUGAGUUCUCUCAUUGUGUUUGUAUAAUAUGUGACCAUCUUCGACUUGCAAUUAGUGUACAUGCCAUUGCAAAUGAAUUUGUUUGUUUGUCUGCUAGAUGCAGGUCACCUAGAGAGCUGAAAACUUCACCCCUGCUGUAGGGACUAGUCUGCACCGGGCGGCUUCAUCUCACCCUGAAUUAAUUAUGAACCUGACAGUCCAUAAUGAUUUAUGAUGCUAAGAAUAAAUGUACACGUUUAAUCGAAAUGAAAGAAAAACAGUAAUGCUGAAGGACAAGGAAUGAUUAAGAGAGAAAAAUUAGGAUUUUUACACAGAAGAAGUCCUCCGGAGCAGUGGUUCUUAACUGGGGGGAGGGGGGCACAUCUCACUAGGGGCUUCAGUAAGGACCAAGAGAGGCCACGCGAGAUUCACGUGAAAAGUGCAGAGAAACGACGACAUUGCUAAAGCUAGGGGUGGCCAGUAGCCUAAAUUGAAUUUUUACUGCAUAUCGAUAUUUUUUCAAAAUGAGAUAUAGGAUCACACAUACCGUUUAUGUUGAGAUACUUUAACUGUGUGAAAUUAAGGCCUUAUUAAUGAUUUUUAGUAGAAACCAAUAGCAUUCCUUCCUGGUUGUAAAGAGCAUGAUGUUGCACGGAAUCCCAGAAUUCACAGCUAGAUUCAGCUGGCGGCUUCCCAUGAGGAAGCUGACGGAGGGGAAAGGCGAGGAAUCAUUGUCACUCGGUUCAUUUUGUUUAAAAAUGCCAAAAAUAUUGUCAUUUGCAAUAUUUGAUUUAUUUAGUUGAAGGCUAAUACCUUAAAAUGAGGGUGUUUUUAGUUUUCAAACAUGUUUAAUGGUUGUCAAGUUUCAGAUUUUGCAGCUAUUUUCCAAAAGGGUUAUGGAUUUAGUUUUUUUAUUCAUAACACUCACCUUCCUUUUUGAGAGCAAUGCCACAAACCGAGGAGGGAGAAAAAAGCCUCAGUGGAUAUAAUGGUGUGAAACCUUGUUUGUCAUGUUCAGAAGAACAAAGAAUUAUACUGUUUGGCAGUGUAACCAAAUUAAAUUAUCCAUCCAUCCAUCUUCUGUAACCGCUUAUCCUAUUUAGGGUCGGAGGGGGUCCAGAGCCUAUGGGCGCGAAGCAGGGAACAAUACAGGAUGGGGCACCAAUCCAUCGCAGCCAAAUUAAAUUGGCAAUUUUUGUCAACAUUGCAGAACGCAUACAAGAGAAACAAUAUGUGUAGGGGGGACCCCAAUGUUUUUCUGGACACAGGGGGUCAUCGGAUAAAAAAGGGUGGGGAACCAUUACUCGUUAAGUUAAGCAAUGAGACUGAAUACGCAACAUAACUUAAUGCCACACUGAGAUGAGGCCUGCCUAGGGAGAACAUCGCCACCCUUUUCUGACAGUAAGCCCUGGUUACUAUUAUGAAAAGGUAUCAUAGUAUCAUUCUUCCAUUGGAAGUGGAAAACAUAACAAUCACACAUAACCUUAAUGAAUGAAUGGUGUAAUGAAAAGUUGAUCCAUACAGAGCACCUUUAGGGCAAGGUUGCUCAAUUAUUUUCCCCUGAGAUCCAAAUUUCAUCAGAGGCACAAAUUUCCCGACCCAGUGGCGAGGCAGAGUGUUAAUUGCACGGUUGGGAUGACUUUGUGUUUCGGUCCUGAUAUGAACAGGGAGUCUGCAGUGUAAGAACUCCUGCUGUUGGACCUUGUUUACCAUACGCAUUUCCAGGUAAAACUCAGCCAGCGACAAGGGCCGUGAAGACGCAGAUCACAAAAGAGCGAAGCAGACGGAGAGAAAGAGGAACCGUCGUCACACAAGGUCAGCAGAUGAACAGGCAGUAAUUAAAAGACACGAAGACAGCUGAUGCACGGAGACUCAGACAGAAACAAGGAUAAUACGACUGGCAACUGAGGAAAGCAGCCAGAAGAUUACGCAGGAAGCUGCCCUCGCACUCCUCUUUCUAUAGCCAAGUGGAGAUGCACACAGGCCUAAGGUGAAGAGGCCUGCCAGAGAGUGAAUACAGCAGCGUGAGCUAAGUGGGCACCAUUCUCUAACAGCUAUGAAGUUACAUACCUAUUUUGAAGGGAGUUUCCAGAUAGUCUCAGGGAAGUUUCCAGAUAACCUCAGGGAAGUUUCCAUAACUUUGAAACCAGAUGAUUUUGUGCUCUGCUCAGCUGGCU